UACGAAGGGGGGCUAGCGUUGCUCGGAAUCACUGGGCGUAAAGGGUGCGUAGGCGGGUCUUUAAGUCAGGGGUGAAAUCCUGGAGCUCAACUCCAGAACUGCCUUUGAUACUGAGGAUCUUGAGUUCGGGGAGAGGUGAGUGGAACUGCGAGUGUAGAGGUGAAAUUCGUAGAUAUUCGCAAGAACACCAGUGGCGAAGGCGGCUCACUGGCCCGAUACUGACGCUGAGGCACGAAAAGCGUGGGGGAGCAAACAGGG
rnacentral:rRNA from 1 species